CUGGCAGCCCUGCAGCCUCUCCUGUAUGCCCACAACACAGAUGCGCCAAAGGUAGUGACAGUGCCAGCAUUCCCACACUGCCCCACCACAUGCCUUGUUCUACUGUGGAGAGGCCACCUCUAGAGGGGAGGGAAGAGUGUGAAUCUGUCUUUUUUCUAAAGAUUGCAAGCC
rnacentral:sRNA from 1 species